rnacentral:misc_RNA from 1 species
GGAAGCAAAAGUCGUAACAAGGUUUCCGUAGGUGAACCUGCGGAAGGAUCAUUAAUGAGUUGUCGUGGGGUUCGAUGCUGGCAGCCAGUUUUUGGAUGCAUGUGCUUGCCCUAACAAUCAUCUUCUUCCAAACACCUGUGCACAUUUUUGAGGGAGUCUUGAGUUGGUUGCCGCUCUUGGGUGAUUUUCUCACAUUCCCUUAAAUCAUUAUACGCUAUUAACAAUGUUGAACGUGCUCUGUGCCGCAAGGCCAUUAAUAUAAUACAACUUUUAACAACGGAUCUCUUGGCUCUC